rnacentral:ribozyme from 13 species
CAAAUCGACCAGACUGACCAAAAAGAUCAUACAUAUAUGGUUGCCUUUUUCUCUCUCCUUCUCCUCUCGUUCCUUCCUCCUCCCUCCUUCUUUCUCUUACUCUAUUGACUGGUUCUUGCUGAAAGUUUUCUGAUUCUUCAAGAGAAGAAGAAGAGGGAGAUGGAGAAGGUGAGGGAGAGGAGGGAGAAGAACGAGGGAGAAAAGGAGAAUGACUCCUCAUUUUUGACCUGAAAGAUCUUGGAGAAGAAGGAGAAGAAGGAGAAGGAGAAGGAGAGAGAAGUUGCUCUCCA